rnacentral:rRNA from 1 species
GACGAACGCUGGCGGCGUGCUUAACACAUGCAAGUCGAACGGUGAAACGCCUUCCUUUUUGGUGGGUGUGGAUGAGUGGCGAACGGGUGAGUAACACGUGAGUAACCUGCCCCCUUCUUCUGGAUAACCGCAUGAAAGUGUGGCUAAUACGGGAUAUUCUGGGUCUGUCGCAUGAUGGGUCUGGGAAAGAUAUUGUUUCGGUGGGGGAUGGGCUCGCGGCCUAUCAGCUUGUUGGUGGGGUGAUGGCCUACCAAGGCGGGGAGGGAUAGCCGGCCUGAGAGGGGGAGCGGCCGGACAGGAGGGGAGUCACGGACGGGCCUGCUUCGUAAGGCAGCCGGAGGGGGGGAUUAUUGAAGAGUGGGCGCAUGCCGGAUCCAGGCACGCCGCGUGAGGAAGGGCGUCGUUCGGGUAGUGACCCUCUUUCGCGAGUAAAACAGGCCUGCCUCGUUGUUGGGUGGUUGAAGGUAACCUGAUAAGAAGCGCCGGCUAACUACGUG